CAUAGGCGUGCGGACUGCGCACGGGGGUGCCUGGUGCGCACAGGCACCCCCUAAUGUGCGGCACCCCCCACACCUGCUGCAGCACAGUGGAGUAGAGCCCACCGCCGAGUCCAGCUUGCUGCUCUGUAUGCAGUGACUGAGGUCCCGUGCCGUGCCGUGUCCUGCCCUCUGCCCCUACCAGGCAGUUCCUGCUGAUAUGGAGGGUUUUUCUCUCAAAGUGGGCGUGGCCACGGGGGUCCGCGAUUAGGCCACACCCCCAACUUUCCCUGGACCCGGCGAUCUGUGUGCAGCCCUGCAGUUGGAUAUCUAACAGCAGCAAUCCCAUGAAGCCCGGCCAGGAAGGAGAAGCAGCCAUACAUGAUCCAUGAGGAGCAGGAGGAACACUACCCGGCUGGAACAGUCGUGACUGGAACCGCAGCAUGACAGAAGAGCGGCAGGAGGAGGCAACCGGGCACAAACUGCAACAUUGCCAAUUCCACACAGCAAAUGCAGGCACCCUCCCCACCCAUGAGGCAAGUGACACAGACACAGUGUGGUAUCUUCAUGUAUAUAUAGUAUACACUGUACAUGCGUUUUGCACCUGGCUGGCCUGGCCAAAUACAGUAC